rnacentral:rRNA from 1 species
AUUGAACGCUGGCGGCAGGCCUAACACAUGCAAGUCGAACGAGUGGCGGACGGGUGAGUAAUGUCUGGGAAACUGCCUGAUGGAGGGGGAUAACUACUGGAAACGGUAGCUAAUACCGCAUACCAUCGGAUGUGCCCAGAUGGGAUUAGCUAGUAGGUGGGGUAAAGGCUCACCUAGGCGACGAUCCCUAGCUGGUCUGAGAGGGUGAUCGGCCACACUGGGACUGGGACACGGACCAGACUCCGACGGGAGGCAGCAGGGGGGAAUAUUGCACAAUGGGCGCAAGCCUGAUACAGCCAUGCCGCGUGUAUGAAGAAGGCCUUCGGGUUGUAAAGUACUUUCAGCGGGGAGGCGUUACCCGCAGAAGAAGCACCGGCUAACUCCGUGCCAGCAGCCGCGGUAAUUC